AUUGAACGCUGGCGGCAGGCCUAACACAUGCAAGUCGAACGAAGCCUUCGGGCUUAGUGGCGGACGGGUGAGUAACACGUGGGAACGUACCUUUUGGUUCGGAACAACUCAGGGAAACUUGAGCUAAUACCGGAUGAGCCCUUAGGGGGAAAGAUUUAUCGCCGAAAGAGCGGCCCGCGUUGGAUUAGGUAGUUGGUGUGGUAAAGGCGCACCAAGCCUACGAUCCAUAGCUGGUCUGAGAGGAUGAUCAGCCACACUGGGACUGAGACACGGCCCAGACUCCUACGGGAGGCAGCAGUGGGGAAUCUUGCGCAAUGGGCGAAAGCCUGACGCAGCCAUGCCGCGUGAAUGAUGGAGGUCUUAGGAUUGUAAAAUUCUUUUACCAGGGACGAUAAUGACGGUACCUGGAGAAAAAGCCCCGGCUAACUUCGUGCCAGCCGCCGCAGUAAAAC
rnacentral:rRNA from 1 species